CCUACGGGAGGCAGCAGUGAGGAAUAUUGGUCAAUGGACGAGAGUCUGAACCAGCCAAGUAGCGUGAAGGAUGACUGCCCUAUGGGUUGUAAACUUCUUUUAUAUGGGAAUAAAAUGUUCCACGUGUGGGAUUUUGUAUGUACCAUAUGAAUAAGGAUCGGCUAACUCCGUGCCAGCAGCCGCGGUAAUACGGAGGAUCCGAGCGUUAUCCGGAUUUAUUGGGUUUAAGGGGAGCGUAGGUGGAUUGUUAAGUCAGUUGUGAAAGUUUGCGGCUCAACCGUAACAUUGCAGUUGAAACUGGCAGUCUUGAGUACAGUAGAGGUGGGCGGAAUUCGUGGUGUAGCGGUGAAAUGCUUAGAUAUCACGAAGAACUCCGAUUGCGAAGGCAGUUCACUGGACUGCAACUGACACUGAGGCUCGAAAGUGUGGGUAUCAAACAGGAUUAGAUACCCCAGUAGUC
rnacentral:rRNA from 1 species